UAAAGAUAAGCGCGUGCAUUGUGUACUAUGAUUAAAAAUUGGCAACAGAAUUGCAUUGUUUUGAAGUGGUUGCACAAUUUGUUAUCAGGAACAAUAGACCGCGAAAGAAAAAAGAUAUCCAGCGAAACCCCGCUAAACUUAACUGGGAUUAAACUACCACAUACUUGGGCAGGGAACCCCGGUACAGUUAUCAAACUCGGCCCUGUUUCCGGGACACUCGAGGCCCCCGUGGGCAGGGGCGGGGUUGGUGCACUCCUUGAGCCGGAUUCGCUGACUACGCCCGCACGUUCGCUCACAGAGCGACCACUCUCCCCAGGAGCUCCAACCGCCGUCCACUAAGAAAUGAAUAAAAUGACUGAAGAGAUGAAACUCAACAAGAUGACAUCCAUAGACUGCCGAUAUACGCUUUAUUCCACAAUGUUGAUAUAUAUCACCGUUUAUUCAAUUUGAUUUUAUCUCGCCAAUUUACGCG